GUACAAAUACUGCUUGAUAUUUGUACUCGUCUAUGGCGUUAUUUGUACUCAUCUAGGUGUAGUUGGAUAAUAAAGUGACUUAUUGACACUCAGCUACAAAUGAUAAAAUGGUAACAAUAAUGAUAAUGCCUGAACACAAUAUUAUAGCAGUAUUAGUAUAACAUUAUUAUAUGUAUGUAGUUCUAGUACUUAUUGAAUUUUAUCUUAUUUUAAUAGUUGUAUUAAUUAUUAAAGUAACUGUGUUAUUUUAUUGUGAAGCGCAUAUGAACAUUGUAUGGAAUUUGCACUAUACAAAUUAUUAUUAUUAUUAUACAGUGCUUUCAGUAAGAUUUUAAAUAGGUGGCUACCUUGGUUCAACACCUGCCAGAGAGCAACUUGAUUGCGACUUAGCGUGGUGACUGCAACUCCGGCGAGCGCUGUGAAAUUACCCGGCAACUCACAACAGAAUACCCGCUGGAGCUCUGGCAGUAGUAAUCCGAAACAAACAUUCAGUGGCAUUGGGAAGAAGUGUAAUCAUGAGCUACUUCCAAGCAAAAUUCAAAGCGAUCCAAAGAAUUCAUCACCAAGCAUUGAACAACCGAAGAUCUUUCAGAACAAACAAAGCCAAGAGUGAGGAAUAUCAGGGACACACCAAGGGCUAGAAAGGUCGAGCAGUGAUUACUGGACCUCUUGAAAAAAACAGAUUCUGAUGAGGCGUGGAUAGAUUAUCUUGAGCCACUCACAGAGGGCAUCGCUCAAACAAAGAACAAGUUGAGCCAUCAGUCAGUAAAAUGUUGUGUGUGGUGGGAGGUAGCCGGUCUGAGUUUGCAGCACAACCAAGAGUUAUUUAGGGACGAGAAUCACAGAGUAGAAAAUGAUGGGAGAAGUUUUAGGAUUUUUUUUCACGAGAUGUAAACUAAAGAAGAUGAAAGAAGAACUGCUUCGUCUUGGAGGUCUGCCUGUUUAUGUCGAUUCUUCUUUAUAUCUGGCAACAUAUUCUUGUUUUGUCUGUUUUUCUAUAAUGCAAUUGAAUUUCUGCAGAGAACUGAGUUUAGAUAAGAGAAGAGUGUUGAUAGAGACUCGCCAUAAAACGUUCCACUCCGACUCUAUUUCCGUGAUAGAAGAUCAUUUAACAAAAGGAUGGAACAUUUUCGAGUACUUCCUACCACAAACUAUGCUGGGAUAUCUUAUCACUGUUCCGUAUUUCGUAGCCUCUUUCUUACUGUCAGUUUCCAGUAUCGUUCAUUUGACUUGAAUGCUGAUAUGAACUGAUUUUGGGCGCGUACAGAUUGAAAUACUGUAUGAUGCCACUAAUUUGAUAAAUUUGAAAAACAGUCGACCGACUUAACGGGUAGUUCAAGUAAGUAAAUCAUUGAAAAGUACUUCUCAAGGGAAUCUUUCUUAAAAGUUCAAGUUGAUUCGAGUUCUAGGUAGUAUUUAUGUAAUUACAACGACGUCUACAUCUCUGUGUUAAACUUUACCGAUAUUAUAAUCAGCUUACAGCUAGUCACAUUAUGUCGUUUUAAAAUUUAAGGAAGAGCUCUCCGAUGGCUAACCUGAUUUGAAUUACAAAUAACUUUGAACAUAAAUAUUAAUUUUCAUAAGUGAGAUUGGUCUGCACGCGGAAAGACCUUACGAACUUUUAGAAACGUCAGCGUCUUUUUCAGCUUUUCUGGGGCCAGGAAACGCAUCUUUUCAAACAAAUACCUUCUGGAUAUCGUCCAUUAUGUCAAGGUGGAAGAGUUUUCUUCGAGGUUGCUGAAGCGAGGAGUUUUAAUCCGACGACAAACAAGGAUGGACUGAUGUUAUUGUGUGAGGACGUUUUUGAAGGAAAACUUCAGGCUUAGGACGGGGUUAUCACUAAAUCAAGGAAUUCAAGGGAGGAAUAGAAAACACGACAACUUUCAAAAAACUUUGAGUGAUGCUCGAAUCAAACAUGGACGGCUGAGAUCCAAAGACAAGACAAGGUAGAAAACAGAUGUAACCCAUUUCUCUCAAGAACACGACGAAUCAGAGCCAAGAGACAUUUAAUAAAAUCGACGACUUGAAGCCAAACGUAAGCAAGCGUUAUUUCGCGAUUUCGUUGGACUUUGAAUUUUUUCUUCGUCGGCCUAAUAUUCAUGGUAUGGGCUGUUUAAAAGUGUUAAGUUUUCCCGCCAAAAAACUUCGAAAAAUACGGGCGCUCGAAAUACGAAUGCACCAUUAUUUAGUCUGUAAGUAACAUCUGUUAAAAUCUGGUGAAUUUUCCCGCCAAAAUACGGCGCCCAAAAUACGCAUGCGCCAAUUUUUUGAAAAAGUAUAUAAAUGCUGUAUUUUGAAUAUAUGAUUUACAUUGCUAAUAAAUUUCAUUUUUAUUUCCAUGUUGUCUUGUUAUUUAUCUACUAAGUAAUAGUCUUCAAAGUGAUCAGUUUUGUUGUUUCACUGAAUAAGCCACAAACGUUUCAUAUCAACUUGGCAUUUAUUUGUUUUGAAUUACAAGUCAAUAUGCUUAAGUAAUUUUUCAGUAAAAUUAUUAUAAACGGUGUUUUGAAUCGUAUAUAUAUACACUAAGACUUUUGGCGGGAAAAUUUGGACAAUCUGCACAGAGUUGCCCCUGG